CUGGUGGCUAUAGCGCGGGGGAAACACCUCUUCUCAUUUCGAACAGAGAAGUUAAGUCCCGCAGCGCCGAUGGUACUGGCCGUUGGCCGGUAGAGUAGGACGUUGCCAGG
rnacentral:rRNA from 1 species